AGUAGUUUGACUCCGUGGCUACGAGGACACGCUGGCGGCGCGCUUAAUACAUGCAAGUCGAACGAGAAGCCAGAGCUUGCUCUGGUGGAAAGUGGCGAACGGGUGAGUAACACGUGAGAAACCUGCCCCAAAGAUUGGGAUAAGCCUUGGAAACGAGGUCUAAUACCAAAUACCUUCCUUUUAACACAUGUUAAAAAGAAGAAAUGCUCCGGCGCUUUGGGAUGGUCUCGCGAUCUAUCAGCUUGUUGGUGAGGUAACGGCUCACCAAGGCAUCGACGGAUAGCUGGUCUGAGAGGAUGUCCAGCCACAUUGGAACUGAGACACGGUCCAAACUCCUACGGGAGGCAGCAGUAGGGAAUCUUGCACAAUGAGGGAAACCUUGAUGCAGCGACGCCGCGUGCGGGACGAAGGCCCUAGGGUUGUAAACCGCUUUCAGUAGGGACGAAAGUGACGGUACCUACAGAAGAAGCCCCGGCCAACUAUGUG
rnacentral:rRNA from 1 species